rnacentral:rRNA from 1 species
UACAGAGGGUGCGAGCGUUAAUCGGAAUUACUGGGCGUAAAGGGCGCGUAGGCGGCCCGCUAAGUCGAACGUGAAAUCCCCAGGCUCAACCUGGGAACUGCGUCCGAUACUGGCAGGCUUGAAUCCGGGAGAGGGAUGUGGAAUUCCAGGUGUAGCGGUGAAAUGCGUAGAUAUCUGGAGGAACACCGGUGGCGAAGGCGGCAUCCUGGACCGGUAUUGACGCUGAGGCGCGAAAGCUAGGGGAGCAAACGGG